UGGCACCACAAGGUAUGUGAGCCCUGGCACCACAAAGGAGAAACAACAAAAAGAGACAAACAGGGCUGAUAAGAUCAGAAAAGAAACUUGUCAUAAGCAUGAUUCACAUUCUCAGUGAAAAAGGAAGGCGGAGCUUCUAUGAAGCACAACCAAGAAGAGGUUAUAAAGCAGAGAGCACAGGGGAUCUCAGUAGUGAGAUGGAAAUGCUUACAUAAUGGGAGUCACAAUGGGAACAGCACAAGAGACAGACAAUGUAGAACAGAUCGAGUCAAACAGAAACCAGUGGUCUAGAAGAUCAUGCUGUAAAAAUCUCCCAGAAUGUACCUGUGCCAUGUGAGAUGCACACCCACAUCCCCUGCAAGAAAGGAUUCAAGGUCCAGCUGCAUGGGGUGCGUGUACCUGAAAAUCUCCAGCUGUCAGCUUUAUAAAUGGCUACUGGGGCUCCUGAGUCAAAGUCAUGCUAUUCUCAGGGCACCUCCUGGCCUUUGACACAGCAAGGGUGAUAUGUGGGGGCUCCUCUAAUGAGCAGUCUUUGUCCUGGAGUGCCCUUCUGAGAUGGCAGGGAUUGUCAGAGAAAGAGACAAUGAAUGAAUGGUGGACUGGAGAACCAAAAUGUUGAUUUUACAUAUGCUGGAAAGGGCAAGGCUGCUCUGGGGAGGAAAAGAAGAAUCUAGAAGAGUGUGAGCAGGGAUUAAGAAUCACAUGAGCCAUGGUGGACUGGGAGAAAUACAAACAGGAUUGGAAGGUGACUGAAUAUGAAACCAACACAAUUGACACUCUGGACUUGUCUAGGUCACUCACAUCUAGGUUUGUUAGACAUUGCUUCAAUGGGCAUAGCCAAUGUCUAGCCCUUAGAAGAUCCCACUGGAUCCUGUAAGAGAGGAUAAGGGAAGGAAGUAGGGGUUUACGCUGUGGAUGAGAAGGACCUAUGGCUGGUGCUUGUAGACAUGUUCCCUUCUUUGAGGACCUUCUUAAACAUUUCACUGAAGUUUUAUUAUAAAAUGACUGCAUUGGGAAGACCCUAACGAUAGGGAAGAAACAGAUGAAAGAUCUCCUAUCUUGAGCUGACAUUCUGGUUGAAGAAAAAAAAAAAAAAACAGUUCCUAUUGAUAUUUUGAUCCAUCAGAACGGCAUCAAGCGCCAGAUUUACUGCACAGCUCUGAAGUUCCUUACAAGGCAAGGAGAAGAUCAAAGAACACUGACCUGUACAUACAGAACUAAAAGGAUAACAGAGAAAUAAAAACAAACGUACUCCAUGGUAUCACCUAUACCGGGAAUCUAAAGAAAAGUCAGCUCGUAGAAACAGGGACAAAAAGUGGCUGCCAAGACCUGGAAGAUCUUUUGGGGGUGGUGGUUUCAUGCAUGCCAUGUUGUGAGUUGUCACUGCCAGCUUCUCCUCCCUCUCUAUAUCAUCCACAACCUGGAACAAACGUUGCUAAGGACAAACUAUGCCCAACGAAAGAGCUCCAGCCAGCUAGAAGUAUGUGGACAAGAUCGCAACCUGAACUUUGGGAGCUGUUUUUAUUUCACAAGCUGCUGUUGUCUUAAGCACUUACGAUGUGGCCUGGAAAAGACAAAUAGUCUUCUGAAAAUAUCUCUACAGGAAGAGCCUUCUCCCCAGUACCUAUAAAACAUUCAUAACAC